rnacentral:rRNA from 1 species
UACAGAGGGGGCAAGCGUUAUUCGGAAUUAUUGGGCGUAAAGGGCGCGUAGGCGGCUUUGCAAGUGGCGGGUGAAAUCCCUCGGCUUAACCGAGGAACUGCCUGCCAGACUGCAUGGCUUGAGACCAGGAGAGGUGAGUGGAAUUCCCAGUGUAGCGGUGAAAUGCGUAGAUAUCUGGAGGAACACCGGUGGCGAAGGCGGCAUCCUGGACCGGUAUUGACGCUGAUGCGCGAAAGCCAGGGGAGCAAAGCGGG